rnacentral:rRNA from 1 species
AACGAACGCUGGCGGCAUGCCUAACACAUGCAAGUCGAACGAGACCUUCGGGUCUAGUGGCGCACGGGUGCGUAACGCGUGGGAACCUGCCCUUAGGUUCGGAAUAACUCCCCGAAAGGGGUGCUAAUACCGGAUAAUGUCUUCGGACCAAAGAUUUAUCGCCUUUGGAUGGGCCCGCGUUGGAUUAGCUAGUAGGUAGGGUAAAAGCCUACCAAGGCGACGAUCCAUAGCUGGUCUGAGAGGAUGAUCAGCCACACUGGGACUGAGACACGGCCCAGACUCCUACGGGAGGCAGCAGUGGGGAAUAUUGGACAAUGGGCGAAAGCCUGAUCCAGCAAUGCCGCGUGAGUGAUGAAGGCCUUAGGGUUGUAAAGCUCUUUUACCCGGGAUGAUAAUGACAGUACCGGGAGAAUAAGCUCCGGCUAACUCCGUG